UUGUGAACUCUGACUCUGAGAUGGGCAUCGAGCGGCCUGGUUGAUGCCCCUGAUGCACAACGGUUGCUUUUUUGUUAGGCGAACGCGUAACAGUUGUACUGGAGUAGUUACUUGAGGGUAGCAUGAUUGUCUGAUGAAGUGAUGAUGCGUGAUAGGUAACGUACUGCCGGGAGAAGCUUCUAGAAGCAAGGGCACAGGAGG
rnacentral:lncRNA from 1 species